rnacentral:rRNA from 1 species
AUGGACUCGCGGCCUAUCAGUUUGUUGGUGAGGUGAUGGCUCACCAAGACGAUGACGGGUAGCCGGCCUGAGAGGGCGACCGGCCACACUGGGACUGAGACACGGCCCAGACUCCUACGGGAGGCAGCAGUGGGGAAUAUUGCACAAUGGGCGAAAGCCUGAUGCAGCGACGCCGCGUGGGGGAUGACGGCCUUCGGGUUGUAAACCCCUUUCAGUAGGGAAGAAGCGAGAGUGACGGUACCUGCAGAAGAAGCGCCGGCUAACUACGUGCCAGCAGCCGCGGUAAUACGUAGGGCGCAAGCGUUGUCCGGAAUUAUUGGGCGUAAAGAGCUUGUAGGUGGCUUGUCGCGUCUGCCGUGAAAACCCGAGGCUCAACCUCGGGCGUGCGGUGGGUACGGGCAGGCUAGAGUGUGGUAGGGGAGACUGGAACUCCUGGUGUAGCGGUGAAAUGCGCAGAUAUCAGGAAGAACACCGAUGGCGAAGGCAGGUCUCUGGGCCAUUACUGACACUGAGAAGCGAAAGCAUGGGUAGCGAACAGGAUUAGAUACC